rnacentral:rRNA from 1 species
GCGGAAUUAACUUCCUCAUAAAGAAAGAAGGAGCAAAGUGUGAGAGUACACGAGCGGCGGACGGCUGAGUAACGCGUAGGAACGUACCCCAAAGUGAGGGAUAAGCACCAGAAAUGGUGUCUAAUACCGCAUGUGGUCUUCGGAUUAAAGCUUCGGCGCUUUGGGAGCGGCCUGCGUAUGAUUAGUUUGUUGGUGAGGUAAUGGCUCACCAAGGCUUCGAUCAUUAGCUGGUCUGAGAGGAUGAUCAGCCAGACUGGGACUGAGAACGGCCCAGACUCCUACGGGAGGCAGCAGUAGGGAAUUUCCACAAUGGGCGAAAGCCUGAUGGAGCAACGCCGCGUGCAGGAUGAAGGCCUUCGGGUUGUAAACUGCUUUUAUAUGUGACGAUUAUGACGGUAGCAUAUGAAUAAGGAUCGGCUAACUCCGUG